rnacentral:rRNA from 1 species
GCCUCCAGGCCCGACCUCCCACCCUUUGACAAACAUCCGGUUUGCCUCGGGGGUGACCCGGACGUCCGACGGCCGGGUGCCCCCGGAGGGCCACCCACUCUGCGUUUUGGCGUCGGAGUUGAACAGAAAAUUGAAACGAAAACUUUCAACAACGGAUCUCUUGGUUCUGGCAUCGAUGAAGAACGCAGCGAAAUGCGAUAAGUAAUGUGAAUUGCAGAAUUCAGUGAAUCAUCGAAUCUUUGAACGCACAUUGCGCCCUUUGGCAUUCCGAAGGGCAUGCCCGUUCGAGCGUCAUUUCACCAAUCAAGCCUGGCUUGGUGUUGGGCCCCGGGGGUGACCCGGACCUCAAUGUCCCCUCGGCCGGACGACCCGGAUCCCAGCGAUGGACACAAAACACGCUGGUUGAGCCGGUGGGCCGCGCCGUGAACGACACCGUUCUGCGGAACGAAAGGUUGACCUCGGAUCGGGUAGGGAUACCCGC